CCUACGGGGGGCAGCAGUGAGGAAUAUUGGUCAAUGGGCGUAAGCCUGAACCAGCCAAGUCGCGUGAGGGAUGAAGGUUCUAUGGAUCGUAAACCUCUUUUAUAAGGGAAUAAAGUGUGGGACGUGUCCUGUUUUGUAUGUACCUUAUGAAUAAGGAUCGGCUAACUCCGUGCCAGCAGCCGCGGUAAUACGGAGGAUCCGAGCGUUAUCCGGAUUUAUUGGGUUUAAAGGGUGUGUAGGCGGCCUUUUAAGUCAGCGGUGAAAGUCUGUGGCUCAACCAUAGAAUUGCCGUUGAAACUGGGAGGCUUGAGUAUGUUUGAGGCAGGCGGAAUGCUUGGUGUAGCGGUGAAAUGCUUAGAUAUCAGGCAGAACACCGAUUGCGAAGGCAGCCUGCCAGGCCAUAACUGACGCUGAUGCACGAAAGCGUGGGGAUCAAACAGGAUUAGAUACCCUUGUAGUC
rnacentral:rRNA from 1 species